AAGAACUUUGAAAAGAGAGUGAAAUAGUGCUUGAAACCGUUGGGAGGAAAGCGAAUGGAGCUGCUAUACAGACCAAGAAUUCUCAAACCGGCCAAAAAUAAGGAACCCGUUGUAAUGAUCUUGGAUCUACGUUUGCGAAAACUUUUUAUCCUGGCGGUUCAUAACUUUAGAGUUCAUUUAUAUAAUUUUAUGUACUGUGUGAACAGUCAAAUUUUAUGUAAAAAUAAAUCUAUCGUGAUGUGACCAGAGACAAAGGUUGAAAAUGUCUACAAUCUAAUAGUUUGUUAGACCUAAAAAUUAUACAAAAGGCAGACGGAAGGGCUUUAUUCGACCCGUCUUGAAACACGGACCAAGGAGUCUAAC
rnacentral:rRNA from 11 species